AUGGGUGGAGGCGUCAAUAGGAUGAAGCAACAUAUUGGGCAGGUAAAGGGAAGCAUGACAAGUUGCAAUGUAGCCACACCAGAUCAGCAGAAAAGGUGUAAGGAUGCUUAUGAGGCACCACAAAAGAAGAAGAAGAAGCUGAAAGAAAAACAUGAUGAAGAAGUACGUGCUGAGGUUGUCAUUCAAGUUGAUGAUGACAAUAACGAGGAAGAGCUGCAUGCAAUUGGAGAAGGUGAAGCUCGCAAGUCAGGGCCUAUUGAUAAAUAUGUGAUGCCAAUUGAUCCUUCCAUCCCAUUGAAGAAGUUCUAA
rnacentral:rRNA from 1 species